rnacentral:rRNA from 1 species
AACGAACGCUGGCGGCAUGCCUAACACAUGCAAGUCGAACGAAGCCUUCGGGCUUAGUGGCGCACGGGUGCGUAACGCGUGGGAAUCUGCCCUUUGGUUCGGAAUAACAGUUGGAAACGACUGCUAAUACCGGAUUAUGACGAAAGUCCAAAGAUUUAUCGCCAGAGGAUGAGCCCGCGUAGGAUUAGCUAGUUGGUGUGGUAAGGCGCACCAAGGCGACGAUCCUUAGCUGGUCUGAGAGGAUGAUCAGCCACACUGGGUCUGAGACACGGCCCAGACUCCUACGGGAGGCAGCAGUGGGGAAUAUUGGACAAUGGGCGAAAGCCUGAUCCAGCAAUGCCGCGUGAGUGAUGAAGGCCCUAGGGUUGUAAAGCUCUUUUACCCGGGAUGGUAAUGACAGUACCGGGAGAAUAAGCCCCGGCUAACUCCGUGCCAGCAGCCGCCGUAA